ACCGACUUACGUUGAAAAGUGAGCGGAUGAACUGAGGGUAGCGGAGAAAUUCCAAUCGAACCUGGAGAUAGCUGGUUCUCUCCGAAAUAGCUUUAGGGCUAGCCUCAAGUGAUGAUUAUUGGAGGUAGAGCACUGUUUGGACGAGGGGCCCCUCUCGGGUUACCGAAUUCAGACAAACUCCGAAUGCCAAUUAAUUUAACUUGGGAGUCAGAACAUGGGUGAUAAGGUCCGUGUUCGAAAGGGAAACAGCCCAGACCACCAGCUAAGGUCCCAAAAUAUAUGUUAAGUGGAAAAGGAUGUGGCGUUGCCCAGACAACUAGGAUGUUGGCUUAGAAGCAGCCAUCAUUUAAAGAGUGCGUAAUAGCUCACUAGUCGAGUGACACUGCGCCGAAAAUGUACCGGGGCUAAACAUAUUACCGAAGCUGUGGAUUGUCCUUUGGACAAUGGUAGGAGAGCGUUCUAAGGGCGUUGAAGCAUGAUCGUAAGGACAUGUGGAGCGCUUAGAAGUGAGAAUGCCGGUGUGAGUAGCGAAAGACGGGUGAGAAUCCCGUCCACCGAUUGACUAAGGUUUCCAGAGGAAGGCUCGUCCGCUCUGGGUUAGUCGGGUCCUAAGCUGAGGCCGACAGGCGUAGGCGAUGGAUAACAGGUUGAUAUUCCUGUACCACCUAUAAUCGUUUUAAUCGAUGGGGGGACGCAGUAGGAUAGGCGAAGCGUGCGAUUGGAUUGCACGUCUAAGCAGUAAGGCUGAGUAUUAGGCAAAUCCGGUACUCAUUAAGGCUGAGCUGUGAUGGGGAGAAGACAUUGUGUCUUCGAGUCGUUGAUUUCACACUGCCGAGAAAAGCCUCUAGAUAGAAAAUAGGUGCCCGUACCGCAAACCGACACAGGUAGUCAAGAUGAGAAUUCUAAGGUGAGCGAGCGAACUCUCGUUAAGGAACUCGGCAAAAUGACCCCGUAACUUCGGGAGAAGGGGUGCUCUUUAGGGUUAAC
rnacentral:rRNA from 1 species